UUAGACUGGGCAGGGAAGGACGAGGAGGCAGCUCGCAAGAACGAGUUGGGCAAGAUAUUUAAAGCAAUAGACGCAACCGACGA
rnacentral:sRNA from 11 species